AAUACCUAAUCCCGUUUGUCUUCUCUCUCAUUCAAAGUCUCUUCCUCUCCUCUCCUUCUCUUUUGAAGUAGUGCCAACACCGUCGCCCAGUCCCGCCGCUGUCGCCCAUCCCCUCUUCAUGGAAAUCAGUAUGGGAUUAUAAUAUUUGUUAUGACUUCUUUCAAGGAAAACUGUUCUAUAGAGAUUAUUCCUAAUUUCCAGAAGAAAAAAUAAGAUCAAAGCCAAUAGAGGAUUGAAAGAAAGAAGAAGUGAUAUUUUGAUAAGAAAUAUUCGAGUCUUGAAAUCUCAUAUCUUUUAUAGAUUAUAUAUAUAUAUAUUUUUAGGAGGUUUAAAGGCUAUUUUGACAGAUCAAAAUAAAUUGGUAGUUGCUUUUCGUGGAAUUACUGUUUUAGCUGCAAGGAUUUACAUGACAAUGUAUGUAUUAAAUGCUAACAGGUUUUAUGUAACGGGGGUUUUCACUUAUUUAAAGUGUUUAUUGCCCAUUUUUUUGGAUUAAGCUUUGAGACGACAAUUUAUAUUUUUAGAUUUUUAGAUUAUCAAAUAUCUUUUCAUGAAGUUACACGUGCGGCCUUUUGGAGAGAAUUUGAUUUAUCUUCCAAAUUGAUUAUGAGUAUAAUUCUUGCUGUUUUUCUACAUUGGGAUUCAACUACGGACAAACAAUUUGGUUGUUUUGAUUGUAUUGUGCAAACUGAUGUCCUGAAAGAACAUAAAAAUGCAGAACUAAGAAAUAAUAAAAGUGAAGUUAGAGCCAUGGGUUCAAACUAGAGGGAAUGGAAUAAGUUCAAACUAGAGGUUGAUCUCUCUUGAAGCAUUAAUGAUGGGAUAGUUAAUGGAUGUUCUCCCUUGAAAGAUACCUAUAUCAUCCAUGUAGCACUAUAUUUUAAGUUGUCAGGCUUGACAAUGGUGGGAUAGUUAAAGGAUGUUCUAUCUUUUUUUUUUUCCAAUGCUUUGUUGAUUUUCAGUGUUUUUAUUUUUCAUUUGUUUGAUUUAUGACCCCUUCCAAUUUUAUAUAUUGUAGGCUGAUAUUUGAUAUUUGUCUAGUAUUAAUAUUUGUUGUAGUGAGUAUUUCACAUUCAUAUAUCUAUACAGUUGUCGGUUAUUUUAUCUAUAUCAUUGAUUCAUCGUAAUGAUUUUUAGAAAAGUUGUGUGACUACCUAUUUCACCAAUGUAAUGCAUGUUAGAGUUAAUUAGAAAGAAAUGUGGGAGUUAAUGUUAAUAUUUUCUUAAUUGUUUGUUUUAUUUGGUUGAAGGAAUAGCUUGUGGGAGCAACAUUUUGAGAAAGGAGAAUGUAUAGGGAAGAGUUUUGGUGUACUUUCGACAUGUAUGAGGUUGAUGUAAUGUGUAAUGUGAAUAUAGUUUGUUGUGUCAGUCUGAAACAUAUGUUCCAUUAUCUUAUUAUAGUUAUAGACUUGUAUAUAGUAUUUGUAUAAAAUAUCAUAAUGUACAAAUUUGAUCCUACUUAAUUUUGUAUAUGUAUAUGAAGACUUUGAUCUUAUUAUAUGAAACUUUGUUACAUUUUAUAAUUUACA